AAUCUUUUCGAAAUGGGCGCCCACGACAACCACUACUCCCAAAAAACUCGAAACGCCGGCGCGGUAAAAAUUCCACUUUUACCCCUUCUCAGACCUUCUUUAAAUAUCAGCACAUCCCGUACUCCUUACGAGCUCACGUCCUUCUUCCUCAGCGCACAGGCUUUCUUCUUCCUUCAAUACUUUCCUUAGUCCUCCAAUUCUCCAGGGCCUCCUUCCUUUCGCAUUCCCUCCUACUUUUCCAAUGGCGGCACCUUCAGGCACCUCACCAACGCGCGAAGCUCCAGAAAUGGUGCCUUCGGCGGAGGUUCCAGUAGCGACAGCGGUGGCUCCAUCGACGGAAGAAGGAGCUCCAUCAGCAAAAGUUGAAGCUUCAUCCGAGAUCCCAUUGGCUGCUUCAUCGUCUGCAGCUGCACCGGCGACUCUGCCAAUUACGAGGAGUUUCAUCCCGGAGGUCAUUACCGAAACUUUCCCUUAUCAGUAAUGCAUUUACUUCAGAUCUAUUUUUUACCCUCGCACCCCCUUUCCCUUUUUAGGCGGUUAGGCAUCGCAUCACCAUUCGUCUUACAGAAAACCUUAGCCUUAUCUACCUUGGGCCCAUGGGAAAUCCAGAUGCAACCGACUUAAUCAAUUUGGAAACCCAUAGGAUCCCCUUCAAACAAUCAACUAUGGACCUAGAUCACUGGUUGGGUACCUUUAGGUCUUGGCCGAACGAAACUCCCGGUUGGAGGGAAUGGUACCAGCGGAUAGCCGCCUCCAAGAAGGUCCAAUGGGACGAGCUCAAAAUUGGCCAAUGCAUUGAUCUAUCUUUGUCCCAAAUGGAACGGAAUGAGCCGUUAGUGGUGGCAGCUUCUUACUUCUGGUCCGAUGCACUCAACGCAUUCCUGUUUGGACACGGACCCAUGACCCCCACAUUGGCCGAUGUAGUCUUGCUGACCGGCCUGGACAUUUCUUCCCCGGACACCCCUUUCCGCCUUAUAACCGCAACAUCACAUCGGCUGGAUACAAGGGGAAUCGGCGGGUGGAAAGGUUUCAUCAGAUGCAACAAAAGGGCCGGAUCUAUCGAGAACAGAGAGUACACGGCCUUCCUGAUGAUGUGGCUAGAGAAGCACUUCUUCUGUGGGAGAGCAGCCGGUCCAUCUACCAACACCCAAGCUCUGGCCGAAGUAUUGUCGAUGGGGACUUCUGUUCCUCUUGGAAAACACUUACUGGGAGCAGCCUACCACAUGCUUCACCAAAUCGGCAUCAAGUUAUCCCAAGGGGAGCCGAUUGGAAACCCAGGUGGACCCUGGUGGUUCAUUAACCUAUGGCUGAACUUGUACAUGAGCGAGAUCUCUUAGCAGCGAGUGGAAUGCAUGACAUUCCCCAGCGUCGAAUCGGCAGAGAAUCCCACUGUCCGACGCCGGUGUACGUCUUUCGGCGAAGCGGCAUCGGCCUUCUCUGGUUGCUCGUACUCUGCUACCAAGGUGGCCGAAUACUUCCGGUGUUUUUAUAACGGCUUCAAUGAAGAUGCAACUGUCUGGUUCCCUUAUCGGAGAGAUGACCCAAUCUUUGAACUCCCUUCUUGCUUCGACUCAACCACCGGCCGAUUCGACGAAGAUCUCACAGAUGAACUAAUUAAACUGGGGAUCUUACCGGCCAACUUCUUCUCAAGAAAGGAUGCCCCUACAUAUGAAUUCUACAACCCCUCUGUUGCAGCACGACAAUUCGAUAUGGGUCAACUGCCGAUUCAGGCAUACUUCAUCGGCCGAGCAAAGUUCAGAGCUGAGCUCACCAAGGGUCUUGACAACAGUCGGCUGCGAGAUCGGAUACCAGACUCCAGUACCAUAGACUUGAAUGACUGGAUAGUAGCCCCCUUUGCUGUCCAACCAUUCAAGCUAUGGUGGGCCGAAUGGAAACAGUACCUGUUCUGCGCCUCUGCAUCGACAUACUGCAAUCUCCUGGAUCCAUCCAACAUCGAUCGGAAUGCCGAGGUAUUUUUUCCCCUAGCCGAUUUUCAUUCCUUUAUUAAUGCGGUUAAAUAUGUACACUAACAUCUUGCUGUUUGCUUCAGUCUGAAAACCGCGCUCCCCCAACACACAGUCGGAGUGGCCAGCCGAUAGAGGACCAUCACCCAUACACCAUCUUCCCCCUUAUCGGCUAUGAUGCCCCUUCCGUGGAUGUGAUUGCCGGCCGAUCGAAGCAGGCGCAGAAGAAAGUUACCAAGAAGACCAGUCGCCGAGUACGAGCUCGUAUAGAACCGGCCGACCCUCCUAUGAUCACAUCGGCAGAAACUUCGGCCGCAUUGCCCCUUCCAGUUGCUGGAGAAAUAGAUACUCAAGUCGUCACGCAAGCUGGGGAAGCCGCUGCAUCAUUACUGGUGGAGGCCAUGCAGGUAAACUUGUUGUCUGAUCCUACCGAUUACCAUCUCUAUACCGACUCAUCUUAUUUUAGACGGCACAAAUCACUUCUGUGGACUCACAGCAAUUGGCAGCAACCCAAUCGGUCAUCAACACGCCCACGCUUCUAUCUGCCGAGGUAUACUACUCUUCAACCAAUUUUUCUAUUAUUUAGAUAAUAGUCUUAUUCAAUCUUUUGACACAGGUCACUGGUACGCUUAGCGCCCCACCUAACCAACCAAUGGUCAUCUUUCGGGAAGCUGACCCGAGCAAAGCACCAAUCAUCGUGGAGUCUUCUACUUCUGACGAACCAUUGGUACCAGCCCCUGAAUCGAGGAUAACGGCCUCCCAAACGCAGUUUGAAGAAAUCCAUUUCAAGGAGGUAAGAGAUUUCUCACCCUUACUCAGCCAAUUUGCUAUCAUCACCGGCUGAUUUGCUCUUCUUCUUGACUCACUAUUUUUCAGGAACAGGACACCCCCAAAAACAGCCUCUUCUUGUUCGCGGUUGCACUCUCCGAUGACGAGGAAGUCGCCUCUCGCCAUGUCACUUUGAGCUCUGUUCCUGAUCACGUCCAUGCCAAACUCGCAAGCAUCCGAUCCCUUCUUCAAGAGGACAUCGGCCGAUUGGUAGAAGACGCCUCGCCGAUUCGACAACUUUUUGGUAACGUCAACGGGCGAGUACCAGAAAAAGCGGAAGAGGCCUUGGCGCCGGCCGCAUAUAUCGAGUCAAUGAGGAUUCCGGUCUUUAGGGCCCUGCACCACAUGGCCGAUCGCGCCAAGUUGACCAAGACUCGCGAAGAAGAAGACAUGUACAAGUGUCAAGCUCAAGAGGUGCAUCAACAGAUUCACUUUCUGGAAGACUCGCGCCCGGGGAUCGUCGGCACGAUAGAUCGCCUCAAACACCGAAGGGCAGAGCUUGCCAAGGAGAUGGAGCAGGUGACCAAAGCAAUAGACGCUGAAGAGAAAAGGCUUCAGGAACUCUCUUCUGUCAUCGCCGAUCUGAAACGAGAGAGGUAGCACCUAGCUCACGAAGCCCUCAAACUCCACCACCAUAUGUCAGAAGUCCCCGGAUCGGCAGAGGAUGACCAACGGGUCCUGGACUCUGCAGAUCAGAUCCGGUGCCGAGCGAUCACAGCUAUCGAUGCCCUUCUGGGUGACCUGUAAAAGUACUGGCAGUUCUUGUACGAACAUUUAAUGACUCCUUUGACCGUCCUUCGCGGCGCCCCCUUAUUUAUUACCUUUUUCACUUCUAAUGGGACGUGUCUUACCAAACAUCCACGCCUUCCUUUCUUAUAAACACCGGCCUAGGUGAUCGUUCUGAGAGUACCUGUCUAGCUCAGCUUCAUCUUCCCCAACCUAUUCACGUCGGUGAGCCUUCCAGUCAUGUCUUCUCCAUCCUCUACCUCUUCCUCCGUUAAUCAGGUAAAAGAUUUGCCUUCAUUCUCUUUCUUAGUUUAGCUCUUCCGAAGGAAUCAUCUUUUUCGGCGGCUAUAUGUAUAUUGUUGCCUGCUGCAGCCACGAAGCCUUAGCCCUGAACUCGAACGAGCCAUCGGACUUGUACACUCCGACGAACCGUUGUCACAAGAAGACAAGGAUUUAAUCAGAGCUCAUCGCGACGAACUCCAAGAGCAUGUCCCUGCCGACAUCCGACGGAUCUGGGACUUUCUGGACAGCAACGACCACCGGCGACCUCAAGCCGACCGAAGUCAUCCACUUCCUCAUCAAAUCGUCCUUGAAGAUGCAGCAGCAGGAACAUCACGCCCGGCCAUGGACCGGAGUCACCCUCUCCCCCGUCAAGUCGAAGCGGAGGCUUCGAUGAAAGAGAUAGAAGAAGAGUUCAUCCGUCUUCUGAUAGAACUAGGUCGGGCUGAGAGAGAGCUUAAGAAAAAGCGUGGUUAAUUAUUUUUUGUUCUAAGGGCGACUUGUACCUUGUCGGUCGUGUAACCCACCGUCCGUACCGAAUGAAAUAUAUCAGCCAAUUUAGACGAUUACGUUUUUUCUCUAGACGAAUCCUUUUGUAUCGGCUGUGUGUUGUUCAUCGUGGUCGAUCCUUAUGCUCCGACCCAUAUACUAGGGUAGUACCUUUUCAAGUAUCCCUAGUAAACUCUUCUCCUUCGAUUGUUUCCAGAAUAUAAGCGUUUCCUGGAGCACAUCUGCCGAUUUUAUAAGGCCCUUCCCACGUAGGGGACCACUUACCAAAUUUAGGAUCUUUCGAGCCGAUCGACAACACUAACUUCCAUACCAGGUCCCCCGGAGAGAAUUGUUUGACUUUGACCUUCUUAUCAUACCACCUGGCCACUUUCUUUUUGUUUUCUUCGAUGCUUAUCAAAGCUCUCAACCGUUGGCCAGCCAAGUCAUCAAGUUCCCUUUUCAUCAGUGAGGAGUAGUCAUCGGCCGCUAACUGGUCCUGGAGCGAAGUGCAUCUCGACCCUGCUCUCAAUUCCCAUGGUAGUACCGCCUCGUGACCGUACACCAACUGAUAAGGGGACAUCUUGGUGGCCCCAUGGCAAGCCAUCCUGUAUGACCAUAGAGCUUCAGUCAGACAUAAAUGCCAUUUUUUUGGCUGCUCCUCUAUCUUCCUCUUGAUUAACUUAAUUAUCCCUUUGUUGGAAGAUUCAGCCUGGCCGUUAGCUUGGGCAUAAUACGGAGAGGAGUUUAACAAUUUGAUUUCUAUAUCGGCCAUGAACUCCUCGAAUUCUCCCGAUGUAAACAUCGUCCCUUGAUCGGUUGUGAUAGUCUGGGGGAUGCCGAAACGGUAGACGAUAUGGUCUCUUACGAAGUCAACCAUGGCAGCCGAUGUUACGGCCCUUAACGGAAUUGCCUCCACCCAUUUGGUGAAAUAAUCAGUGACCACCAGAAUGAACUUGUGCCCUUUGCUUGACGGAGGAUAAAUUUGGCCGAUAAGGUCUAUUCCCCAACCUCUAAACGACCAUGGUUUGAUAAUGGGAUUCAUGGCCGAUGCGGGCGCACGUUGGACAUUCCCGUAUUUCUGAUAAUCCUGGCAUCCUUUAUAAUAUUUGAAGCAAUCUUCGAGGAUCGUCGGCCAGUAAUACCCAUUAUUCCUAAUCAUCCAUUUCAUCUUAUGUGCCGAUUGGUGGGCUCCACACACUCCUUCAUGGAUUUCUCCCAUCAGAGUCUUAGCCUCCUCCGUUCCUAGACACAUGAGUAGGACGCCAUCGAUUGUUCGGUAGAACAAGUCGUCCUCCAGUAACACAUAUUUGGUAGAAUGAAAAUGUACCCGCCGAUCCACUUUCUUAGACGGAUCUUUCACGUAAUCGGCAAUCUCUUUUCGCCAGUCAUCGGCCGCGAGCUCUAGAGCCAUAGCGCCUUGGAUCCGCCGAUACCCAGAUGCGUGUUAGGCGAGCUUGUUGGCAUCCUCGUUGUGAUUCCUUGGGAUGUGCUCAAUAACUGCCGAUUUGAAUUCUUUCAGAAGCUGCAGGCAAUCUUCGUAAUAAAUCCUCAACACAUCGUCCUUGCAUUCGGACUUCCCUGUUAAUUGAUCCACGAUAAGCAUGGAAUCUCCAAAAACUUCGACAGAAUCGGCCUUGACUUCUCUUAGCAAUUGUAAUCCCUUCAGUACAGCUUGGUAUUUUGCUUGAUUGUUAGUGGCGGAUGCUUCUAUCGGCAGAGAAAAAUCAUAGCUUGCCCCCCGAGGCGAUAUGAGGACAAUGCCGAUUCCUCAUCCGACCCCACAUGACGAUCCAUCAAAGUAUAAGGUCCAAGGUACCGGUUCCACGAAGGUAGUCUCUGGUCCGCAGUGUUGGGCAACGAAAUCGGCCAUGACCUGACCCUUAACGGCCUUUGCCGAUUCAUAUCGAAGGUCAAACUCUGACAGAGCCAAGAUCCAUUUUCCAAUUCGUCCCUUCAAAAUCGGCAGUGAUAGCAUGUAUUUUACCAUGUCGUCCUUGCAUACGACCACACAUUCCGCUGACAGCAAAUAGUGCCUGAGUUUGGUGCAUGAGAAGUAAAGGCAUAGGCACAACCGUUCCACUGGAGGAUACCUUGUUUCGGCAUCCAGAAAUCUUCUACUGACAUAAUAAAUUACCCGUUCCUUUCCCUUGAACUCCUGGACCAGAGCCGACCCAAUAGCUCGUUCAUCGGCUGAUAAAUAUAGUUUAAACGGCUUACCAGUUUGAGGAGGGACCAAUACCGGUGGUGAGACCAAGUACUGCUUGAUAUCUUCCAAUGCCUUGCGUUGCUCUCCCCCCAUAUGAACUCCUGGUCGGGCUUCAACUUUAGUAAUGGUGUGAAGGCUUGGAUUCGCCCAGAUAGAUUAGAUAUGAAUCUUCUGAUGAAAUUCACCUUGCCGAUUAGAGAUUGCAGCUCAGUUUUAUUCUGUGGGGCCAUGACUUUGUUGAUGGCCGCUAUGGUCUUCCGAUUGAUCUCUAUUCCCUGCUCGUGCACCAUGAAUCCUAAGAAUUGUCCGGCGGAUACGCCGAAGGCGCACUUAUUCGGGUUCAUCUUCAGCCCAUGUUUCUUAGUGCAUUCCAAUACUUGUCGUAAAUCGGCCAGAUGCUCCUGGUGUCCUUUUGACUUGACUACAACGUCGUCGAUGUAGAUUUCUACUAGUAUGCCGAUAAGUUUGUGAAAUAUGUAGUUCAUGGCUCUCUGAUAUGUAGCGCCGGCAUUUUUCAAGCCGAAAGUCAUUACCACCCACUCGAACAAACCAAGGUGACCUGGGCAUCUGAAGGCCGUUUUGGGUAUGACUUCUUCGGCCAUAAGUAUCUGAUUGUACCCAGCGUUUCCAUCCAUGAAACUAAUAACCUUGUGUCCCGCGGCGGCAUCUAUCAGCACAUCGGCCGUCAGCAUGGGGUAUCCGUCCAUUGAUGUGGCCUGAUUGAGGUUCCUGAAGUCGACGCAUAGGCGUAGCUUUCCAUUCUUCUUGUAUAGUGGUACAAUGUUGGAGAUCCAUUCGGCAUAACGGCAUUGCCGAAUAAAUUUUGCUUCGAUUAGCCGCGUUAUUUCGGCUUUUAUGUCUGGUAGGAUUUUAGGAUUGCAAUGCCGUGCAGGCUGUUGAUACGACCGAUACCCUGGCUUUAUGGGUAACCAAUGCUCAACGAUAGAUCGGUCUAAUCCGGGCAUCUCAUGAUACUCCCAAGCAAAGCAAUCCUUAAAUUCUCUUAACAAACUUAUCAGUUUACAUUUGUAUUCCGGAUCUAAAUUUGCACUAAUAUAUGCCGUCUUGGUUUGGUGCCAUUGCCUAAGUCUAUCAUUUCUAAUGAAUCGGCCAACGUGAACCCGUGUCCCAGCUUCCCAUCUUCUCGGGCGGACUGAUCCAUUUUAGUCUGAGUCUUCGGAGCCGACUGCUCGGAUCGGCUGUAGGCAAAAAUCGGACACCUUCAAGAAGUCAGUAUCCCAUACUCUCCCAGAUAUGCACUUGACGGUUUCGCAGCUCCACUGCUGCGUGUCGGCUGCCGCGAUGCUGUAUGCGGAAUCGGCGGUGACCACCUCGAUGUUGUCGCCGACCCAUUGUAUGAGGCAUUGAUGCAUUGUAGAUGGGAUACAGCAAUUUGCAUGUAUCCAGUCUCGGCCAAGUAGCAUGUUGUAGGACCCCUUGUCGUUAAUGAUAAAGAAAGUAGUAGGAAGAGUCUUACUGCCGAUGGUGAGGUCGACGCAGAGAGCGCCGCGAGCGGGGGAUACGUUGCCCUCGAAGUCCUUGAGCAUCAUAUCUGUCUUGGUCAGGUCAUCAUCGCUCUUCCCAAGCUUCCGGAACAUGGCGUACGGCAUGAUGUUGACUGCAGCCCCUCCGUCUACCAGUAAUCUGGUGAUGGGUCGGCCGUUGACAUGCGCUUUAAGAAACAAUGCUUUCAGGUGUUGCCGUUUGUCUUCUUCGGGCUUCUCGAAUGUGGCUGUCAUUGGCUCCAAAGCCAAUUGUACCAUCUGCUCUUCCAUCGCCGACAUGUCCUGUCGGUCGGCGGGAGUCAUCAAUUCCAUUGGCAGUAUGAAAAUCAUGUCGAUGUCGGCUGCCGAUUCGUCACCUGCCGAUUCGUCGCCUACUCUCUCGUUUCUUUUGGGGCGCCAUACCUGAGACCUGCCUUUCUUCUCAUCCGUCGUGUACUGUUGCUCUUCCUCCUGCUGUUCCCACUGGCGGAGACGUUGGAUUCUUCAUUUUUGAGACUUGGUCAACCCAUCGAGGCACCACCUGGGGUUCACCGGUUUGGUUCGUGGUCUAGCAUGUUCCCAUUCCGGUCCACGUCCUAAAGGGUUCUCGUCUGAUACCCGAGCAUCGGCCAUCUCUUCAAGUCGACUGUGGACGCUAACCCUGUUUUCUGGCCAGUUAUAUCGAUCGAAUCUGCCCCCCGGCCCAUCAUCGCGCCUGCCUUCCGACCGGUCAUAUCGGUCAAUUCUGCCCCCCAGCCGAUCACGUACUGGAGGGUGCCGGUCGUCUUGGUUGCGCCAGUUCCUGCUGAUCGGCUCUGGUCUCCCAUCUCUGGAGCGAGACCUGCUGAACGGCCGAUUGUUACGAUACGGGCUGUUGCACUUCGGGCAAUUAUCGGCCGAAGGCAACCUGAGGUUGCUUUCCCAACAGUGGAUGAAGAACGGGCAUCGCCAGUGAACUUCAUGUCGCCGCAUUGCUUCUUCCCGAGAUCUUGAGCAUUCAUGUUGCCGCUGAUAUUUGUUGAGCAGGAAUUGGGAAGUGAUAAGUGGUUCUCCUGAUCCGUCGUCAUCGUCCUCCAUCCGCCGUUUCCCCUUGAUGUCUUUAGGCGCCGCUUGAUUUUUGGGGACUACGGUGCCGCUCUUUUUAACCGAUUCGAAUGUCAGCACCUUGGUUUGGAUGACUUGAUGAUGAGUGAAGGCGUGUGGCGUCUGAUGUGUCAUAGCCGGCUGCGUAGUCAGGAUCGGCUGUUUGAACGAGCCUCCCGCUUCGUCAUAUAGUAUGAGUGGUCUUGUAGCCGCCUGGAAAGAUGCCUGGAGUUGAGGACUUUCAUGGCUGGUCGGUUGAUCCGGGGCGGCCGUCACUGAUGGUGCCCCCCAAGGCACUGGAUUUAUCGAAGGAAACUACGUGGAGGACAACUGAAUGGGACGUGGCUGGAAGCAUUGUGUGCCAUUAAACCUCAUAGGGAUCGAUGAUGAGGAAGCUCCAGAACCCCCAACUGGAAUUUGGAUCGGCUGAGAAGCCGAAUAAGGUAUAUUCUUGUUCGGAGCUGUAAUCGGCGGAGCAUAUGCCGGCCCCUGGUACCCUUGAGAUACACCGCUAGCCAAGGAGCUGAUGAUGACAUUGUAUACCGUAUUAGAAAGCACCGGGGAUUGAUCGAUGAAAGCUUGAUAGACGGAUUGCUGGGCCAUCUCGGACAUCUUGUCCGAGUCCUCGGUGAUUGUGAUCUGGCGGGGAGUUGGAAACAGAGCCUUUUUGAUAGUCUCCCCGCUCCUGGUGCGACUAAAGGACUGCAGACAUGUCUUCCGGUAGUAUGCCGUCUGCCUCUCUAGUUCUUCCUUCUGGUCAUCCCUGAGAUCUGCCUCUGUCACUUCGAUGACGUUAUCUUUGGAGACUUCAUCAGCUUUCGACAUGGUGGCGGUUGUAUUUGUCCCACCGGGCUUGCCAAAAGUGUGUUGGCACUAGAAAUUAGCUGAUCGAAUUCCCAGCGUCGGACACACGACCCGGGAGAAUCUGCUUAGCUCCUGUUCGGGUGAUUGCCCUGGUGCGGUUCGUGCGGCGUGCCAGCCAAUCUGACCUGUUGAUUGGCAAGGAAAUAAACGUGUCAGUUCCCAGAGGUUGCGAUCGGCUAAGGUUCCGAUCUCGAUAAAGCUUAUCAGCGAAUUGGUCAAUUUGCAGUAAUAAAGAAAUCGGCUAUGAUGCAACCGAUUACUAGGCAACGUUUAUAAAGAAAACCGCAAGAGUAAUCUAAACAACGCUACAGUAGCAACACUAGGAACAGAUCUAAUCGGCUAUGCAUGAAAUAGGUAGAUUAAACAGCGAAGUACAAGAAAAAGUCGAAUUUACUGAUUCCUAGCUAGAUAACUGGUGAUAAAACUAGAACAACAAGUAACACCUAGAAUUCUAGUAAAUAUCGAUAACUGAUGAAUAAAUCUAAAUGAAAUGACAGCGAUACGCCUGAAGUUAAAGCUUAGAAUUUACUCGAUAAGCGGAACUUACAAGAUCGGCCGGAGGUCAAGUUGAUGCAGCCCCACCAACCCGUACGAACUCGUGAAAAAGGAGAAAAAGUGUUGGCGAAGUCGCCUGCUUGAAAGUAAGUACGAGGAAAUAGUAGUUUGUUGUAUUGAGUUGAUGAUAAUUACAGAUCUACAAGGGUGGCUAUUUAUAGCCCCGUACAAACGACUUCUUAUCUGACUAGAACUCUAUCCCUAAAUUUAAAUAGAAAACGAAUAUUUACAAGUACGAUUCAUACUAUUUUCACGCGCUUCAUGGGCUGACCCCCUCUUCAUCUUCAUAAUCCUUUUUAAGCCCACAUCGGCCCAACUGUUCCAACCUCCUAAUCGGCCGAUCACCUCUUUGGCAAGGGGGUAACCGAUCAGGACCAACAUGUCGAGGGCUCAGACUCAUUCUGACCCUAGGAACUAAGGUCAGGCGAGGCGGAGAUCCUCCCUUGGAGGGUCAGGUGUGUCCGAUCCCAAACCUUAGGGGUCGGGCGAGGCGGAGAUCCUCCCUUGGAGGGUCGGGCACGUCCGAUCCCAAACCUCAGGGGUCGGGCGAGGCGGAGAUCCUCCCUUAGAGGGUCGGGCGCGUCCGAUCCCAAACCUCAGGGGUCGGGCGAGGCGGAACUCCAAUGAUCAAUCGGCCGAUCCUCGACUGUAGCAUUAAUUGGCCGAUCCUUGACUGUAGCACCAACCAACCAAUCCUUGACUGCAGCACCAAUCGGCUGAUUUCCAAUCGUCGCCCUUGUAUCUCGCCGCAUCUCCUAAUUUCUUCCACUUCCAACGCCGAUUUUACACAUGUCAAAAUCUGGCGUCAACCCAUGCCCCCCAGUUUCGGAGUAAAACAUAGUCUUUACUUCGAAAUACUUUUCAACUUCUGAUCCGAAACAGACGCAACGAAAACAUCCUUCCGUUUCGCGGUCUCCAACCUGAUGAUUGCAAUCUUUUCGAAACGGGCGCCCACGACAACCACUACUCCCGAAAAACUCGAAAUGCUGGCGUGGUAAAAAUUCCACUUUUACCCCUUCUCAGACCUUCUUUAAAUAUCAGCACAUCCCGUACUCCUUACGAGCUCACAUCCUUCUUCCUCGGCACACAGGCUUUCUUCUUCCUUCAACACUUUCCUUAGUCCUCCAAUUCUCCAGCGCCUCCUUCCUUUCGUAUUCCC
rnacentral:lncRNA from 1 species